rnacentral:rRNA from 1 species
UACGGAGGGAGCUAGCGUUGUUCGGAAUUACUGGGCGUAAAGCGCGCGUAGGCGGCUUUGUAAGUUAGAGGUGAAAGCCCGGGGCUCAACUCCGGAACUGCCUUUAAGACUGCAUCGCUUGAAUCCAGGAGAGGUGAGUGGAAUUCCCGGUGUAGCGGUGAAAUGCGUAGAGAUCGGGAGGAACACCAGCGGCGAAGGCGGCGACCUGGACAAGUACUGACACUCAACUACGAAAGCGUGGGGAGCAAACAGG